GGAACGGGCAAUCUUACGUGGACGUGAC
rnacentral:sRNA from 1 species